rnacentral:rRNA from 1 species
GACGAACGCUGGCGGCGGGCUUAACACAUGCAAGUCGAACGGAAAGGCCCCCUUGUGGGGUACUCGAGUGGCGAACGGGGGAGGAACACGUGAGGAACGUACCCUUGACUUUGGGAUAAGGUCAGGAAACGGGGGCGAAUACCGGAUCGGAGCUCCUGCUGCAUGGCGGGGGGGGGAAAGUUUCGGCGGCUGGGGAUGGGCUCGCGGCUUAUCAGCUUGUUGGUGGGGUAGUGGCUCACCAAGGCUUUGACGGGUAGCCGGCCUGAGAGGGGGACCGGCCACACUGGGCCUGUGCUACGGCCCGGACUGGUGCGGGAGGCAGCAGUGGGGAAUGUUGCACGCUGGGCGGAAGCCUGUUGCGGCAGCGCCGCGUUCGGGAUGACGGCCUUCGGGUUGUAAACCGCUUUCGGCUGUGACGAAGCGUGAGUGACGGUAAUGGGUAAAGAAGCACCGGCUAACUACGUG